GAUGAACGCUGGCGGCAUGCCUAAGACAAGCAAGUCGAACGAGAUGAACUUAUUGAAGAUGAUGUGCUUGCACAGAGUUGGAUUUAAAAUUCGUCUAGUGGCAGACGGGUGAGUAACACGUGGGUAACCUGCCUUAGAGACUGGGAUAACGGUUAGAAAUGAUCGCUAAUACCGGAUAAUUCGUAGAAGGAUAACUUUCUAUGCUAAAAGUAGCGUUUGCUACACUUUAAGAUGGGCUCGCGGUGUAUUAGCUAGUUGGUGAGGUAAUGGCCCGCAAAGGCGACGGUCAGUAGCCGACUUGAGAGAGUGAUCGGCCACAUUGGGACUGAGACACGGCCCAAACUCCUACGGGAGGCAGCAGUGGGGAAUAUUGCACAAUGGGCGAAAGCCUGAUGCAGCGACGCCGCGUGAGUGAAGAAGUAUUUCGGUAUGUAAAGCUCUAUCAGCAGGGAAGAUAAUGACGGUACCUGACUAAGAAGCCCCGGCUAACUACGUGCCAGCCGCCGCCGUAAUAC
rnacentral:rRNA from 1 species